rnacentral:rRNA from 1 species
CGAGAAUCGGCGCUAAUACCUCAUAAUGCAGCGGAUCCGCAUGGAUAUGUGUAAGGUUACCGCCUGGGAUAGGCUUGCGUCUGAUUAGCUAGUUGGUGUGGUAACGGCACACCAAGGCUACGAUCAGUAACUGGUCUGAGAGGAUGAUCAGUCACACUGGAACUGAGACACGGUCCAGACUCCUACGGGAGGCAGCAGUGAGGAAUAUUGGGCAAUGCUCGAAAGAGUGACCCAGCAACGCCGCGUGGAGGAUGAAGGUAUUCUAUAUCGUAAACUCCUGUGAGAGCAGACGAAAGACAGAUUAUUAAUCUGGAUGACUGUAUGCUCAGAGGAAGCCCCGGCUAACUACGUG